rnacentral:rRNA from 1 species
ACUCAAAGGAAUAGACGGGGGCCCGCACAAGCGGCGGAGCAUGUGGCUUAAUUCGACGCAACGCGAAGAACCUUACCAGGGCUUGAAAUAUACGGAAAAGCCAUAGAGAUAUGGUGUCCUUCGGGGCCGUAUACAGGUGGUGCAUGGUUGUCGUCAGCUCGUGCCGUGAGGUGUUGGGUUAAGUCCCGCAACGAGCGCAACCCCUGUCCUAUGUUGCCAGCGAGUUAUGUCGGGGACUCAUAGGAGACUGCCGGUGUCAAACCGGAGGAAGGUGGGGACGACGUCAAAUCAUCAUGCCCCUUACGUCCUGGGCUGCACACAUGCUACAAUGGCCGGUACAGAGGGCUGCAACCCCGCGAGGGUGAGCGAAUCCCAAAAAGCCGGUCUCAGUUCGGAUUGGAGUCUGCAACUCGACUCCAUGAAGGCGGAGUCGCUAGUAAUCGCAGAUCAGCAACGCUGCGGUGAAUACGUUCCCGGGCCUUGUACACACCGCCCGU